rnacentral:sRNA from 1 species
GCCGGGGGUGGUGGCUCACGCCUGUAAUCCCAGCACUUUGGGAGGCUGAGGCAGGCGGAUCACCUGAGGUCAGGAGUUCAAGACCAGCCUGACCAACAUGGUGAAACCCUGUCUCUA